rnacentral:rRNA from 1 species
GACGAACGCUGGCGGCGUGCUUAACACAUGCAAGUCGAACGGAAAGGCCCUGCUUUUGUGGGGUGCUCGAGUGGCGAACGGGUGAGUAACACGUGAGUAACCCGCCCCUGACUUUGGGAUAACUUCAGGAAACUGGGGCGAAUACCGGGUAGGAGCUCUUGCUGCAUGGUGUGGGUUGGAAAGUUUCGGCGGUUGGGGAUGGAUUCGCGGCUUAUCAGCUUGUUGGUGGGGUAGUGGCUUACCAAGGCUUUGACGGGUAGCCGGCCUGGGAGGGUGACCGGCCACAUUGGGACUGAGGUACGGCGCAGAAUGCUAUGGGAGGCAGUAGUGGGGAAUAUUGCACAAUGAGCGGACGCCUGAUGCAGCAGCGCCGCGUGCGGAAUGACGGCCUUCGGGUUGUAAACCGCUUUCGCCUGUGACGAAGCGUGAGUGACGGUAAUGGGUAAAGAAGCACCGGCUAACUACGUG